UGGCGGCCAACCGCCUGCGCUGCGAUUCUGGGGAAAACCUCACAAAACAGAGUAGCAGGAAGCCGGCGUGGAGAACCAGCUCCGAGAGACUCGGAGGCUGCGGGCAGUCCCACUUCUCCGCGAGGCUCCUCCGUGGCAGGCGGACCCAGCCAAGCUCAGGCAAAGCUGCCCUGCGGGCAAAGCAUCCUGUGAUGGGAACCAAAACUACCACCCCCUCAAGCAAUAAGGACUGCCCUGAUGACUGCAAGCCUCCAUGACCAACCCCACAACAGUGACUGACCUGACCUUUACUGCCCACCUGCACGUACCCACUGACUUUUGCCCCACAUUUUCCUUAUUUAAACUUACAAGUAUUCUCAGCACU